UACGUAGGGUGCAGGCGUUAAUCGGAAUUACUGGGCGUAAAGGGCUCGUAGGUGGCCAACUAAGUCAGACGUGAAAUCCCUCGGCUUAACCGGGGAACUGCGUCUGAUACUGGAUGGCUUGAGUUUGGGAGAGGGACGCGGAAUUCCAGGUGUAGCGGUGAAAUGCGUAGAUAUCUGGAGGAACACCGGUGGCGAAGGCGGCGUUCUGGACUGCUACUGACACUGAGGAACGAAAGCCAGGGGAGCAAACGGG
rnacentral:rRNA from 1 species